ensembl:lncRNA
CAAUGACAGGUGAUGUCCCUUGAGAGUCAAUACUGGGAGCUGUACUCUAACAUUUUCAUCAGUGACAUCAACAGUGGGAUCAAGUGCACCCUCAGCAAGUCUGCAGGUGACACUAAGCUGUGUGGUGCUUUUCUCUUUCUUUAUAUGGUCUCAGGUCUGGUCUCCUUCUCUGACUGCCCAUUUGGAGCUGCACAUCUUCCAGGAUUAGCUUUAUCUGAAGGGAGCGUAGUUUACAACACAGGGACCACCUUACAGUGCCAGUAAGAGCCCAACUGUGGGCAGGGACCCAGAGGGCUGCUGCUGAAAUUCCCCUGUUAACUACAGCAUCAGUGCGGACACCUCCUCAGAAAAGUGAAGAUGGCAUCUUAGGUAUUGGAAGAGAACUGCAAAAUGUAAAGACACAUGAAGCAAUCUUCGGUGUUGGUGGUGAGUAUGUGUGGAAGUGAUCUGGAAUGGAUUCUGGAAAACACAAAUCAAGAAAUCAGAUGUGGAGGAGAGAUCUCUGUUUCAACAGGAAUUGUGACAGUCUAAUGCAUCCACCUCAGCUGGGCACAGAUGAUGAAUUUCACCUGAAAGAUCAGAUGGUUGGAGACAGCAGAGAGCUGGGCUGCCAGCUCUCAGUGCAAGAGACAGCAGAAGAAAACAGGUGAACUAUGGGAAUAUUUACAGAAUUGCUCCCUGGACCGGAAAAGAAACUACACCUAGAGCUUCUCCAGACAACCUGCCAGAAAAAGAAAUAGUUACAGAAAUUCCUGUGAGGACACCUGAAGCUACCGAGAUAAUCGAACCAGUUUCUAACAUCAUAUCUAGCAAUUUUGAUGGCCUCUAUAGAAG